UAGGGAAUUUUGGACAAUGGGCGAAAGCCUGACCCAGCAACGCCGCGUGUGGGAUGAAGGCCCUCGGGUCGUAAACCACUGUCAGGAGGAAAGAAAAGUCGGCCGGAUAAUACUCGGUCGACCUGACGGUACCUCCAAAGGAAGCACCGGCUAACUCCGUGCCAGCAGCCGCGGUAAUACGGAGGGUGCAAGCGUUGUUCGGAAUUACUGGGCGUAAAGCGCGUGUAGGUGGUCGAGUAAGUCGAAUGUGAAAGCCCCGGGCUCAACCCGGGAAGUGCAUCCGAAACUGCUCGACUAGAGUCCCGAAGAGGAAGGCAGAAUUCCCAAUGUAGGGGUGAAAUCCGUAGAUAUUGGGAGGAAUACCGGUGGCGAAGGCGGCCUUCUGGACGGUGACUGACACUCAGACGCGAAAGCGUGGGGAGCAAACAGGAUUAGAUACCCAAGUAGUCCCUGAGCGGGCUGGCAAGGCGCAU
rnacentral:rRNA from 1 species